rfam:Mesocricetus auratus contig025188, whole genome shotgun sequence.
GGUUAUGGCCAUGCUACCUGAAGGUACCUGGUCUCAUAUGAUCUCUGAAGCUAAGCAGGGUCAGGCCUGGCUAGAACUUGGAUGGGAGACAACAGUAAUCCCAACCAUUCUUU